rnacentral:rRNA from 1 species
AUUGAACGCUGGCGGCAGGCCUAACACAUGCAAGUCGAGCGGAUGAAGGGAGCUUGCUCCUGGAUUCAGCGGCGGACGGGUGAGUAAUGCCUAGGAAUCUGCCUGGUAGCGGGGGAUAACGUCCGGAAACGGGCGCUAAUACCGCAUACGUCCUGAGGGAGAAAGUGGGGGAUCUUCGGACCUCACGCUAUCAGAUGAGCCUAGGUCGGAUUAGCUAGUUGGUGGGGUAAAGGCCUACCAAGGCGACGAUCCGUAACUGGUCUGAGAGGAUGAUCAGUCACACUGGAACUGAGACACGGUCCAGACUCCUACGGGAGGCAGCAGUGGGGAAUAUUGGACAAUGGGCGAAAGCCUGAUCCAGCCAUGCCGCGUGUGUGAAGAAGGUCUUCGGAUUGUAAAGCGCUUUAAGUUGGGAGGAAGGGCAGUAAGUUAAUACCUUGCUGUUUUGACGUUACCAACAGAAUAAGCACCGGCUAACUUCGUG